GUCCACGCCGUAAACGGUGGGCGCUAGGUGUGGGGUGUUAUUCACACAUUCCGCGCCGUCGCUAACGCAUUAAGCGCCCCGCCUGGGGAGUACGGCCGCAAGGCUAAAACUCAAAGGAAUUGACGGGGGCCCGCACAAGCGGCGGAGCAUGCGGCUUAAUUCGAUGCAACGCGAAGAACCUUACCUGGGUUUGACAUGCACGGUAAUCCGGCAGAGAUGUCGGGUCCGCAAGGGAUCGUGCACAGGUGGUGCAUGGCU
rnacentral:rRNA from 1 species